CAUAUUUUUGGAUUCAAAUUCGUAACCGGUAAUUGUCUGAUCGCUCCGAAUGAACUGUGAAAAUAUGGCAUAGGAUAUGAUAGCAGUAAAAUCCAAUCUGACCCACCCUGUUUACAUUCCUACCCAUAGCUAUAUUGGUGGGCCGUAACUACAUCUUCGAUCUAAAUAUUAGCAGGCCUGUCGGGAUUUGGCAUUUUGGUACUGCCGAUUUUUUUUUUUUUUGAGAAGACGCGCUGCCGAUCUUAUCGGUUAACUCAUGGGCGAAGAGGAGCGGAGCAAUCUGCAUCAACUCGUAUGUUCCUUUCUCUCUGGUAGAAGCAAAUUUUCUUUCUCUCAAAAAAAAAAAAAGCAAAUUUUCUUUGCACGUGGCAAUCUUGCCUCUCCACCGCGACACUGCCUACCCACUCUCGUUCCUCCCUUGCUAGCUCUCACUUUGGAUUACAGCCCGUGACCGGCAUCCUCCCUGCCCAAAUCCAUUGAGAAGCCGGUUCCCAUAAACUGCCGAUUUCAUGGAACGUUGUCUUUCGCCUUCAUAUCAGUCUAAUGAGGCUUCCAAGAGGUUGCUGAAUUCGUUCCUUGUAUUAUCGUCCCUUCUUUAAUACGUAGUACUAAUGAGAAGGCAAGACUCCAGCACGACUGAACUGGCGAGCUGAAUCGGCGAGUCCCCGCCGGCCGCCGCCCCCAGCUCCCCUGCCGACCUAGCAUCCGGCGACCUUCGGCCCGGCAGCCGUCGACCAGGGGCACCAGAGCAGUGAGCUCACAACCCGCCAAAGCGGCGACCCAACCCGCGCCGGACCCCGUCGCCCCCGUCCCCGACGACCAGUAGGCAGUAGCUGAGCAGCAGCGACCCGACGGCUCCACGCCUUCACUGGUCAACCUCUCCAACUGGAUCUCUCCUUUCAUCCUUCGAUUCUUGGCAAGUGAUUUGACAAAAUUCCUGUUAAGUAGUUGAUUGAAUUGAGAGCUAGAACUUCGGAAUAGGACUGAAAAUGGGGAAAAAGGGCAAUAUUGCAUCGUUCUUCAAAAGACAAAGAGCAUAGCCAGUUGAGGAAGAUACUCCCCCCACCACCAGAUUUGAGAGCCUUGUUCCAGCAAAAAUAUUUUAGCAAAACGUGGUUUUGAUGUACUCUUGGUUCACAGAUUUGAGAAAUUGAAGAAGGUGAAUGAUGGGAAAUCCUAUGCAUUAUUAGGCCAUGUAGGUUGGACCUUGCUCACCGCAUAACAAUGCAAUCACAUAAUGUAGAGCCUUGAUGUAUCAACCAGGCCAUAUAGGUAAUGUUGUAGCAGCAAAGGACAAGGAAAAGGUAGAAAGGAAUCGCCCAAGGCUUAAAGCCUAAGUUGCAGCUGUCCGGUGGCUCACAUUUCUGUUGUCCAAAUUUUGUUUGGUCUUUCACACACUCCCAAUUUUAUCUUCAAGCUCCGCCACUGGGCAAGAGGCUAUCGUGGGCAAAGCCGCUGGAAGAGGAGGUGAUGUUAUCUUGCUACAACUGUGUUGGUAGCAGAGGAAAUAAUAUGCGAAGUCAGAAGGAUCAUAUCAUGGAAUCAAAUGCGGCGAUAGCUUUCAAAGACAUCUCCUGUUAUUUUUUACAGGUUGACAUCAUCUGGUUGUGUUCAGUAACAAACAAUAUAGGCAAGGGAAUUCAGGGAGCGACAAAACUCUUUGUCAAGCAGAAGCAAAAUGCACAGCACAGAAAUUGCUCUCGAAAGAUAAGAUUGAAGUAACCGAGAUCAAUAUCGGUAAGCACCAGAAGGUGAAUUAAGUUGAUCCGCUACCAACUUGACCUGGACGAAGUUUAUUUUGUGAAGGUGAGGAUUUGGUGUGCCACCAGCUGGUAUGUCUCUUUUUCUGCAGCUAGCACAGUUCAAGUUUCCUUCGCGCAUGCUAACUGAUCACAUCAAUUAGUUUUUAUAGCAAGCGUACAGUACCCCCACAGUACAUCACCAAGAGUCUAAUAUGGUGAAGGUUUCAUGUAAGUUAGAGCAGUCAUGGUACAAUAAGAAAAAAAAAAUGUUUCAGAGCAAAGUCAAGAAGGUAAAGGCUAAAUAUAAGGGAAAAUGCAAACUCAUGCUAGGCUCAAGUU